AAUCUAUGAUGUGGACAUUUUCGAAACAAAUUUCUAAAUCUUUCUCAUGCCUCGUAUGAUUAUUCGCCCUCUUGUUGGUUAAAACUAGUGAUAUCCAUUAUAAGUUU